CCCGGCCAUUAUUUUGCACCCAAAAACCCAUUUUCCACAAAAAUCCUGACCUUCCACUCUACAUUGCUGCAUUGCUUGAGCUUGAGCCUGAGCCUGCAAUCAUGGCGUUGCUAGAGCAAAAGAACGUGGCGGAUGUGAAUAAUGUGAAUACAGGCACCGAAAUCCCUCCCAAUGUCACCAUUUACAUCAACAAUCUCAACGAGAAAAUCAAAAUCGAUGAAUUGAAAAAAUCACUCCACGCGGUGUUCUCUCAAUUCGGGAAGAUUUUGGAGAUUUUGGCAUUCAAGACGCUGAAACACAAAGGGCAAGCUUGGGUUGUUUUCGAGGAUGCUCAAUCAGCAACUAAUGCUAUGAGGCAAAUGCAAUCUUUCCCCUUUUAUGACAAGCCCAUGAGAAUACAAUUUGCAAAAACUAAAUCAGAUAUCAUUGCGAAAGCUGAUGGCACUUUUGUUCCAAGGGAAAAACGAAAGAGGCACGAAGAGAAAGGAAAAAAGAAGAAAGAGCAGCAUGAUGCUAAUCAAGCUGGGAUUGGUCUGGCUCCUGCUUAUGCUGGUGCCUAUGGUGCAACUCCUCCGUUAUCACAAAUACCCUAUCCAGGUGGUGCAAAAUCUAUGGNNNNCUCCUGAGGCUCCAGCUCCACCAAACAAUAUACUCUUUAUUCAAAAUCUUCCGAAUGAGACAACUCCAAUGAUGCUGCAAAUGUUAUUCCAGCAGUACCCUGGAUUUAAGGAGGUUAGGAUGGUGGAAACAAAGCCAGGGAUUGCCUUUGUAGAGUACGGAGAUGAGAUGCAGUCAACAGUUGCAAUGCAUGGACUUCAGGGUUUCAAGAUACAGCAAAAUUCAAUGUUAAUUACCUAUGCCAAGAAAUAGUUAACGAUGCUUCUGUCUUUUGCUAUAUACAGGAUGCACGGCAAUUAGGAACUNACUAGAAUAUUCUAAACUAGUGACUGCUUAUUCCAUGUAUCUAUUGUUUUUGGAUUGACGGGAAGUGAUGAUGUUCAGCCUAGGAGUUUUCGUGUAUCAUUAUGGUUAAAUGGUGACUUUCUUCAGUACUUUAUUCGCUUCUGAAAAUUGAUUAGCAUAGUAAAUUGAGGAAUUAAAGUGUAUUUUACCUUUUUUUUU
rnacentral:misc_RNA from 1 species